CAUCCUCCAAGGCUAAAUACUCCUGACUGACCGAUAGUGAACCAGUACCGUGAGGGAAAGGCGAAAAGAACCCCGGCGAGGGGAGUGAAAAAGAACCUGAAACCGUGUACGUACAAGCAGUGGGAGCACAGGUUUACCUGUGUGACUGCGUACCUUUUGUAUAAUGGGUCAGCGACUUAUAUUCUGUAGCAAGGUUAACCGAAUAGGGGAGCCGGAGGGAAACCGAGUCUUAAUUGGGCGUUAAGUUGCAGGGUAUAGACCCGAAACCCGGUGAUCUAGCCAUGGGCAGGUUGAAGGUUGGGUAACACUAACUGGAGGACCGAACCGACUAAUGUUGAAAAAUUAGCGGAUGACCUGUGGCUGGGGGUGAAAGGCCAAUCAAACCGGGAGAUAGCUGGUUCUCCCCGAAAGCUAUUUAGGUAGCGCCUCGUGAAUUCAUCUCCGGGGGUAGAGCACUGUUUCGGCUAGGGGGCCAUCCCGGCUUACCAACCCGAUGCAAACUGCGAAUACCGGAGAAUGUUAUCACGGGAGACACACGGCGGGUGCUAACGUCCGUCGUGAAGAGGGAAACAACCCAGACCGCCAGCUAAGGUCCCAAAGUCAUGGUUAAGUGGGAAACGAUGUGGGAAGGCCCAGACAGCCAGGAUGUUGGCUUAGAAGCAGCCAUCAUUUAAAGAAAGCGUAAUAGCUCACUGGUCGAGUCGGCCUGCGCGGAAGAUGUAACGGGGCUAAACCAUGCACCGAAGCUGCGGCAGCAACGCUGAUGCGUUGUUGGGUAGGGGAGCGUUCUGUAAGCCUGUGAAGGUGGCCUGUGAGGGUUGCUGGAGGUAUCAGAAGUGCGAAUGCUGACAUAAGUAACGAUAAAGCGGGUGAAAAGCCCGCUCGCCGGAAGACCAAGGGUUCCUGUCCAACGUUAAUCGGGGCAGGGUGAGUCGACCCCUAAGGCGAGGCCGAAAGGCGUAGUCGAUGGGAAACGGGUUAAUAUUCCCGUACUUGGUGUUACUGCGAAGGGGGGACGGAGAAGGCUAUGUUGGCCGGGCGACGGUUGUCCCGGUUUAAGCGUGUAGGUGUGUGUUCCAGGUAAAUCCGGUUCACUUUAACACUGAGGCGUGACGACGAGGCACUACGGUGCUGAAGCAACAAAUGCCCUGCUUCCAGGAAAAGCCUCUAAGCAUCAGGUAACAUCAAAUCGUACCCCAAACCGACACAGGUGGUCAGGUAGAGAAUACCAAGGCGCUUGAGAGAACUC
rnacentral:rRNA from 1 species